UACAGAGGUCCCAAGCGUUGUUCGGAUUCACUGGGCGUAAAGGGUGCGUAGGUGGUGAGGUAAGUCGGAUGUGAAAGCUCCGAGCUCAACUCGGAAAUGGCAUUGGAAACUACCUUGCUAGAGGGUUUGAGGGGGGACUGGAAUACUUGGUGUAGCAGUGAAAUGCGUAGAUAUCAAGUGGAACACCAGUGGCGAAGGCGAGUCCCUGGAAAACUCCUGACACUGAGGCACGAAAAGCUAGGGGAGCAAACAGG
rnacentral:rRNA from 1 species